GUGUGUGUGUGUAUAAAACAAUCCCUCCCCUUUUCCCAUAUAAGGAAUACUUCCGGUCUUUGGCCGUGUAUUCCCGCCUCCCCACAUUCUCUAUGCGUCCAUCUUGACCUCCUCAACAUGGCGGCAAUAAGCUGCUAGCUCCGGUUCACUACUUCCGGUUUCCGUCUUAGUCAGAAGUCGUCACUUUCGGUUUCGUCAUCCAGCGGCCGGAUAGUGACGUAUUCGUGUUCAUCCAGGGGAGGAGUGGGCGGAAUACAUCUCAGUAUAAUUAAGAG